GUCUUCGAUUUGCUUUGCCAAAGUAAAACCUGGCCUUUGUGGAACAUUUAUGCCUUCAGCGAGAGACUGUAUGUGCCAAAUGAUGCGUUCAUCUCUAUACGUGGCAAUGUUUACGAAAACACACCUGCUGAUCAGAAAGUUCUCAAAGCUUCUUCGCCUCCUGCAGGCCUGGAAUGCACACUACAUCAUUUCAUCUUCUCCUUGAGCGUUUUCAUGCCUCUAUUGAGUAGGAGCAAUUUCUUUUUUUCAUUUACACAGCAGGAAACGGUUUUUGGAAACGUUGUGUAACCAUGGCCUCGAUAGCAGAUAAAAGUGGCUCCCAUUGUGAUCUUCUGCAGCUGUAGCACGUCUGCCUCAGGGUUCAACUAAGUUCAGAGAUUUUAUGGUACAUAAAUAGAGCUACUGUUGCCUUUCUAUGAUAUUCCAUGACUGAUCGAAAAUAUUCAAUCUAGAAAUGGUUUUGAGUGAAAAUCUAAGCAGAUUAAUAGUUUUUGAAAUGCUCAGACCACAUGAACAAAUAUGCAGUCAGUCUCUUAGAUCCUUUUCUGUAUUUUGAACUUCAUCAAGUUUCCCUCACCACAUUCAGAUACCGAAAUGUGCUAGAAACUGCUGCCCUGUGAUUAGCUGAUUUUCAGCAAGCGAUCUGAAGUACCUCCUGAGAUCAAUUUCAUAACCUGAACGCUGACGUUCAAAUCAAAUGUCCUGCUCAACUUUUCCUUACAUAUGGCUAAUUAAACUGCAGAAAAUGCCUCUUCUCAUCCAAUGGAAAUUUAUUACAACAACAACAACAACAAAAAACACUGCAGUAUUGCACACUUGUCCUUCACUUUCCUUUUGAGCCGGUAUUCAUUCCUGAAGCUGUGAGCGGGAGAACACAAUGUGUGAUUACUGUAUAGAGCUGGUGAGGGGAGUGUGUCAAGGCGUGCAUGAUGCCACACAAUGUGCCUGGAGAGAUUGAUGUUUUUGUCAUCCACCUGCUUCAAAGCUGUAAAGAGCCAGCUGAUGCAAACAGAGAAAAAAAAAAAAAAAAAAAAACAAGAAAGGCAGGCUCACAAACAAAAGAGGGAGAACCUCACUGCUCCUUCUUUGCACAUCUGUUUUGGAGGAAUAUCUGAUGUUUCUGACGCGCACUGGGCUCGAAUGAGCACUGAAUCUGAGUCUUGCGCCUGGGAGUGGUGUGAGUGAAAUCGGGGCCCGGAGCCACGGGUUGGGAGGAGAGAUGGCAGCCAGGGUGGCACGCUGACUGGAGGAGCGCCAGCUGCUCUCAACCAG